rnacentral:rRNA from 1 species
GUUGUCCGGAAUUAUUGGGCGUAAAGCGCGCGCAGGCGGUUUCUUAAGUCUGAUGUGAAAGCCCCCGGCUCAACCGGGGAGGGUCAUUGGAAACUGGGGAACUUGAGUGCAGAAGAGGAGAGUGGAAUUCCACGUGUAGCGGUGAAAUGCGUAGAGAUGUGGAGGAACACCAGUGGCGAAGGCGACUCUCUGGUCUGUAACUGACGCUGAGGCGCGAAAGCGUGGGGAGCGAACAGGAUUAGAUACCCUGGGAGUCCACGCCGUAAACGAUGAGUGCUAAGUGUUAGAGGGUUUCCGCCCUUUAGUGCUGCAGCAAACGCAUUAAGCACUCCGGCCGGGGGAGUACGGUUCGCAAAAAUGGAAACUCAAAGGAAAUUGAC